rnacentral:rRNA from 1 species
CUGAGUACGGCGGAACACGUGAAAUUCCGUCGGAAUCCGGGAGGACCAUCUCCCAAGGCUAAAUACUCCCUAGUGACCGAUAGUGAACCAGUACCGUGAGGGAAAGGUGAAAAGCACCCCGGAAGGGGAGUGAAACAGUUCCUGAAACCGUGUGCCUACAAGUAGUUAGAGCCCGUUAAUGGGUGAUAGCGUGCCUUUUGUAGAAUGAACCGGCGAGUUACGAUUUGUUGCAAGGUUAAGCGGAAAAAGCGGAGCCGUAGCGAAAGCGAGUCUGAAUAGGGCGCAUAAGUAACAGGUCGUAGACCCGAAACCAGGUGAUCUACCCAUGUCCAGGAUGAAGGUAAGGUAAUACUUACUGGAGGUCCGAACCCACGCACGUUGAAAAGUGCGGGGAUGAGGUGUGGGUAGCGGAGAAAUUCCAAUCGAACUUGGAGAUAGCUGGUUCUCUCCGAAAUAGCUUUAGGGCUAGCCUCGAGGUAAAGAGUCAUGGAGGUAGAGCACUGUUUGGACUAGGGGCCCUUCUCGGGUUACCGAAUUCAGAUAAACUCCGAAUGCCAUGUACUUAUACUCGGGAGUCAGACUGCGAGUGAUAAGAUCCGUAGUCGAAAGGGAAACAGCCCAGACCACCAGUUAAGGUCCCCAAAUAUAUGUUAAGUGGAAAAGGAUGUGGGGUUGCUUAGACAACCAGGAUGUUGGCUUAGAAGCAGCCACCAUUGAAAGAGUGCGUAAUAGCUCACUGGUCGAGUGACCCCGCGCCGAAAAUGUACCGGGGCUAAACAUAUUACCGAAACUGUGGAUGAACCUCUUUAGAGGUUCGUGGUAGGAGAGCGUUCUAAGGGCGGUGAAGUCAGACCGGAAGGACUGGUGGAGCGCUUAGAAGUGAGAAUGCCGGUAUGAGUAGCGAAAGAAGGGUGAGAAUCCCUUCCACCGAAUAUCUAAGGUUUCCUGAGGAAGGCUCGUCCGCUCAGGGUUAGUCGGGACCUAAGCCGAGGCCGAUAGGCGUAGGCGAUGGACAACAGGUAGAGAUUCCUGUACCAGUGCUAAUUGUUUAACCGAUGGGGUGACACAGAAGGAUAGGGAAUCGCACGAAUGGAAAUGUGCGUCCAAGCAGUGAGUGUGAGAAGUAGGCAAAUCCGCUUCUCGCGAAGCAUGAGCUGUGAUGGGGAAGGAAAUUAAGUACGGAAGUUCCUGAUUUCACGCUGUCAAGAAAAGCCUCUAGGAAGAGUAGUACUGCCCGUACCGCAAACCGACACAGGUAGAUGAGGAGAGAAUCCUAAGGUGAGCGAGAGAACUCUCGUUAAGGAACUCGGCAAAAUGACCCCGUAACUUCGGGAGAAGGGGUGCUCUAUUAGGGUGCAAGCCCGAGAGAGCCGCAGUGAAUAGGCCCAGGCGACUGUUUAGCAAAAACACAGGUCUCUGCAAAACCGUAAGGUGACGUAUAGGGGCUGACGCCUGCCCGGUGCUGGAAGGUUAAGAGGAGUGCUUAGCUUCGGCGAAGGUACGAAUUGAAGCCCCAGUAAACGGCGGCCGUAACUAUAACGGUCCUAAGGUAGCGAAAUUCCUUGUCGGGUAAGUUCCGACCCGCACGAAAGGCGCAACGAUCUGGGCACUGUCUCAACGAGAGACUCGGUGAAAUUAUAGUACCUGUGAAGAUGCAGGUUACCCGCGACAGGACGGAAAGACCCCGUGGAGCUUUACUGCAACCUGAUAUGGAAUGUUUGUACCGCUUGUACAGGAUAGGUAGGAGCCGAAGAGACGUGUGCGCUAGCAUACGAGGAGGCAAUGGUGGGAUACUACCCUGGCUGUAUGACCAUUCUAACCCGCCACGCUUAGCGCGUGGGGAGACAGUGUCAGGUGGGCAGUUUGACUGGGGCGGUCGCCUCCUAAAGAGUAACGGAGGCGCCCAAAGGUUCCCUCAGAAUGGAUGGAAAUCAUUCGCAGAGUGUAAAGGCACAAGGGAGCUUGACUGCGAGACUGACAAGUCGAGCAGGGACGAAAGUCGGGCUUAGUGAUCCGGUGGUUCCGCAUGGAAGGGCCAUCGCUCAACGGAUAAAAGCUACCCCGGGGAUAACAGGCUUAUCUCCCCCAAGAGUCCACAUCGACGGGGAGGUUUGGCACCUCGAUGUCGGCUCGUCGCAUCCUGGGGCUGUAGUCGGUCCCAAGGGUUGGGCUGUUCGCCCAUUAAAGCGGCACGCGAGCUGGGUUCAGAACGUCGUGAGACAGUUCGGUCCCUAUCCGUCGCGGGCGCAGGAAAUUUGAGAGGAGCUGUCCUUAGUACGAGAGGACCGGGAUGGACACACCGCUGGUGUACCAGUUGUUCCGCCAGGAGCAUCGCUGGGUAGCUAUGUGUGGCAGGGAUAAACGCUGAAAGCAUCUAAGCGUGAAGCCCCCCUCAAGAUGAGAUUUCCCAUUUCUUCGGAAAGUAAGAUCCCUGAAAGAUGAUCAGGUAGAUAGGUUUGGAGUGGAAGUGUAGCGAUACAUGG